rnacentral:rRNA from 1 species
GAUGAACGCUGGCGGCGUGCCUAAUACAUGCAAGUCGAGCGAACAGACGAGGAGCUUGCUCCUCUGACGUUAGCGGCGGACGGGUGAGUAACACGUGGAUAACCUACCUAUAAGACUGGGAUAACUUCGGGAAACCGGAGCUAAUACCGGAUAAUAUAUUGAACCGCAUGGUUCAAUAGUUAAAGACGGUUUUGCUGUCACUUAUAGAUGGAUCCGCGCCGCAUUAGCUAGUUGGUAAGGUAACGGCUUACCAAGGCAACGAUGCGUAGCCGACCUGAGAGGGUGAUCGGCCACACUGGAACUGAGACACGGUCCAGACUCCUACGGGAGGCAGCAGUAGGGAAUCUUCCGCAAUGGGCGAAAGCCUGACGGAGCAACGCCGCGUGAGUGAUGAAGGUCUUCGGAUCGUAAAACUCUGUUAUUAGGGAAGAACAAAUGUGUAAGUAACUAUGCACGUCUUGACGGUACCUAAGCAGAAAGCCACGGCUAACUACGUG